UCUGAGGUUUGGUGAAUGACCUCUCGUCCA
rnacentral:piRNA from 1 species